CGACCACUGCCAAGUCAACAUGAGCACGUUAGUCGUCGUUUUCCUUUUUGGUGUAGUGGUAUUGGGUGCUCAGGCGGCCCCUCCUCGCAAAACACAUUGUUUGAUGCACUGUGAAUUUGGUUUCGCGAAAUUCAGCAAUGGUGAUCUGAUGUGCAAAUGCAGACCAUAUCCCAUCGCGAAAAGAUCUGGAUUUACAAUCGUUGAACAGAUGUGCGAAAAGUACUGCCAAAAUACCGUCAAUCCCGACGACUGGUGUCUCAGCAACUGCUACUGAUGAUCGAGUCCUCGACACCAUAGUUAAUUUAAUGGGGGAAUAUAGACAAGAGCUGGGGUCUUAGUAUACUGGCAUCCGGCUGCAAGCUGCUACAAUGUACAUAUCCGCGCCUCUUAUUUCCUGUGAAUGGCGAAAAUCCUUUGAAA